rnacentral:rRNA from 2 species
GGGUUGUGAGGUUAAGCGACUAAGCGUACACGGUGGAUGCCCUGGCAGUCAGAGGCGAUGAAGGACGUGCUAAUCUGCGAUAAGCGCCGGUAAGGUGAUAUGAACCGUUAUAACCGGCGAUUUCCGAAUGGGGAAACCCAGUGUGACUCGUCACACUAUCAUUAACUGAAUCCAUAGGUUAAUGAGGCGAACCGGGGGAACUGAAACAUCUAAGUACCCCGAGGAAAAGAAAUCAACCGAGAUUCCCCCAGUAGCGGCGAGCGAACGGGGAGGAGCCCAGAGCCUGAAUCAGCAUGUGUGUUAGUGGAAGCGUCUGGAAAGGCGCGCGAUACAGGGUGACAGCCCCGUACACAAAAGCGCAUGUGCUGUGAGCUCGAUGAGUAGGGCGGGACACGUGGUAUCCUGUCUGAAUAUGGGGGACCAUCCUCCAAGGCUAAAUACUCCUGACUGACCGAUAGUGAACCAGUACCGUGAGGGAAAGGCGAAAAGAACCCCGGCGAGGGGAGUGAAAAAGAACCUGAAACCGUGUACGUACAAGCAGUGGGAGCACCCUUUGGGGUGUGACUGCGUACCUUUUGUAUAAUGGGUCAGCGACUUAUAUUCUGUAGCAAGGUUAACCGAAUAGGGGAGCCGGAGGGAAACCGAGUCUUAAUUGGGCGUUAAGUUGCAGGGUAUAGACCCGAAACCCGGUGAUCUAGCCAUGGGCAGGUUGAAGGUUGGGUAACACUAACUGGAGGACCGAACCGACUAAUGUUGAAAAAUUAGCGGAUGACCUGUGGCUGGGGGUGAAAGGCCAAUCAAACCGGGAGAUAGCUGGUUCUCCCCGAAAGCUAUUUAGGUAGCGCCUCGUGAAUUCAUCUCCGGGGGUAGAGCACUGUUUCGGCUAGGGGGCCAUCCCGGCUUACCAACCCGAUGCAAACUGCGAAUACCGGAGAAUGUUAUCACGGGAGACACACGGCGGGUGCUAACGUCCGUCGUGAAGAGGGAAACAACCCAGACCGCCAGCUAAGGUCCCAAAGUCAUGGUUAAGUGGGAAACGAUGUGGGAAGGCCCAGACAGCCAGGAUGUUGGCUUAGAAGCAGCCAUCAUUUAAAGAAAGCGUAAUAGCUCACUGGUCGAGUCGGCCUGCGCGGAAGAUGUAACGGGGCUAAACCAUGCACCGAAGCUGCGGCAGCGACGCUGAUGCGUUGUUGGGUAGGGGAGCGUUCUGUAAGCCUGCGAAGGUGGCCUGUGAGGGUUGCUGGAGGUAUCAGAAGUGCGAAUGCUGACAUAAGUAACGAUAAAGCGGGUGAAAAGCCCGCUCGCCGGAAGACCAAGGGUUCCUGUCCAACGUUAAUCGGGGCAGGGUGAGUCGACCCCUAAGGCGAGGCCGAAAGGCGUAGUCGAUGGGAAACGGGUUAAUAUUCCCGUACUUGGUGUUACUGCGAAGGGGGGACGGAGAAGGCUAUGUUGGCCGGGCGACGGUUGUCCCGGUUUAAGCGUGUAGGUGUGUGUUCCAGGUAAAUCCGGUUCACUUUAACACUGAGGCGUGAUGACGAGGCACUACGGUGCUGAAGCAACAAAUGCCCUGCUUCCAGGAAAAGCCUCUAAGCAUCAGGUAACAUCAAAUCGUACCCCAAACCGACACAGGUGGUCAGGUAGAGAAUACCAAGGCGCUUGAGAGAACUCGGGUGAAGGAACUAGGCAAAAUGGUGCCGUAACUUCGGGAGAAGGCACGCUGACACGUAGGUGAAGUGAUUUACUCAUGGAGCUGAAGUCAGUCGAAGAUACCAGCUGGCUGCAACUGUUUAUUAAAAACACAGCACUGUGCAAACACGAAAGUGGACGUAUACGGUGUGACGCCUGCCCGGUGCCGGAAGGUUAAUUGAUGGGGUCAGCGCAAGCGAAGCUCCUGAUCGAAGCCCCGGUAAACGGCGGCCGUAACUAUAACGGUCCUAAGGUAGCGAAAUUCCUUGUCGGGUAAGUUCCGACCUGCACGAAUGGCGUAAUGAUGGCCAGGCUGUCUCCACCCGAGACUCAGUGAAAUUGAACUCGCUGUGAAGAUGCAGUGUACCCGCGGCAAGACGGAAAGACCCCGUGAACCUUUACUAUAGCUUGACACUGAACAUUGAGCCUUGAUGUGUAGGAUAGGUGGGAGGCUUUGAAGUGUGGACGCCAGUCUGCAUGGAGCCGACCUUGAAAUACCACCCUUUAAUGUUUGAUGUUCUAACGUGGACCCGUGAUCCGGGUUGCGGACAGUGUCUGGUGGGUAGUUUGACUGGGGCGGUCUCCUCCUAAAGAGUAACGGAGGAGCACGAAGGUUGGCUAAUCCUGGUCGGACAUCAGGAGGUUAGUGCAAUGGCAUAAGCCAGCUUGACUGCGAGCGUGACGGCGCGAGCAGGUGCGAAAGCAGGUCAUAGUGAUCCGGUGGUUCUGAAUGGAAGGGCCAUCGCUCAACGGAUAAAAGGUACUCCGGGGAUAACAGGCUGAUACCGCCCAAGAGUUCAUAUCGACGGCGGUGUUUGGCACCUCGAUGUCGGCUCAUCACAUCCUGGGGCUGAAGUAGGUCCCAAGGGUAUGGCUGUUCGCCAUUUAAAGUGGUACGCGAGCUGGGUUUAGAACGUCGUGAGACAGUUCGGUCCCUAUCUGCCGUGGGCGCUGGAGAACUGAGGGGGGCUGCUCCUAGUACGAGAGGACCGGAGUGGACGCAUCACUGGUGUUCGGGUUGUCAUGCCAAUGGCACUGCCCGGUAGCUAAAUGCGGAAGAGAUAAGUGCUGAAAGCAUCUAAGCACGAAACUUGCCCCGAGAUGAGUUCUCCCUGAGACUUAGAGUCUCCUGAAGGAACGUUGAAGACGACGACGUUGAUAGGCCGGGUGUGUAAGCGCAGCGAUGCGUUGAGCUAACCGGUACUAAUGAACCGUGAGGCUUAACCUUACAACGCCGAAG